AGAGUUUGAUCCUGGCUCAGGAUGAACGCUAGCGGCAGGCCUAACACAUGCAAGUCGAGGGGUAACAGGUAGGAAGCUUGCUUUCUAUGCUGACGACCGGCGCACGGGUGAGUAACGCGUAUGCAAUCUACCCUUAACUGGGGAAUAGCCCGAAGAAAUUCGGAUUAAUGCCCCAUAACACUAUGGUAUCGCAUGAUACUAUAUUUAAAACUCCGGUGGUUAAGGAUGAGCAUGCGUGACAUUAGCUAGUUGGUAAGGUAACGGCUUACCAAGGCUACGAUGUCUAGGGGGCCUGAGAGGGUAGUCCCCCACACUGGUACUGAGACACGGACCAGACUCCUACGGGAGGCAGCAGUGAGGAAAAUUGGUCAAUGGGCGCAAGCCUGAACCAGCCAUGCCGCGUGCAGGAAGACGGCUCUAUGAGUUGUAAACUGCUUUUAUACGGGAAUAACCAUAGCUACGUGUAGCUAUCUGAAUGUACCGUACGAAUAAGCAUCGGCUAACUCCGUGCCAGCAGCCGCGGUAAUACGGAGGAUGCAAGCGUUAUCCGGAUUUAUUGGGUUUAAAGGGCGCGUAGGCGGGAAAAUAAGUCAGUGGUGAAAUCCUGCAGCUUAACUGUAGAACUGCCAUUGAUACUGUUUUCCUUGAGUGUAGUUGAGGUAGGCGGAAUGUGUAAUGUAGCGGUGAAAUGCUUAGAUAUUACACAGAACACCGAUUGCGUAGGCAGCUUACUAAACUAUUACUGACGCUCAGGCACGAAAGCGUGGGUAGCGAACAGGAUUAGAUACCCUGGUAGUCCACGCCGUAAACGAUGAUCACUAGCUGUUGGCAACACAUAGUCAGUGGCAAAGCGAAAGCAUUAAGUGAUCCACCUGGGGAGUACGCUCGCAAGAGUGAAACUCAAAGGAAUUGACGGGGGCCCGCACAAGCGGUGGAACAUGUGGUUUAAUUCGAUGAUACGCGAGGAACCUUACCUGGGCUUAAAUGCAUAACGACGUAGUGGGAAACCAUUGCUCCCUUCGGGGCGUUUUGCAAGGUGCUGCAUGGUUGUCGUCAGCUCGUGCCGUGAGGUGUCGGGUUAAGUCCCAUAACGAGCGCAACCCCUAUCGUUAGUUGCUAGCAGGUAAUGCUGAGGACUCUAGCGAAACUGCCGGUGUAAACCGAGAGGAAGGUGGGGAUGACGUCAAAUCAGCACGGCCCUUAUGUCCAGGGCUACACACGUGUUACAAUGGUCGGUACAGAGGGCAGCUACCUGGUGACAGGAUGCUAAUCUCGAAAGCCGGUCACAGUUCGGAUUGAAGUCUGCAACUCGACUUCAUGAAGCUGGAAUCGCUAGUAAUCGCGUAUCAGCAAUGACGCGGUGAAUACGUUCCCGGGCCUUGUACAC
rnacentral:rRNA from 1 species